AAACUGACAUAUUAAAGUAAAAUAAUAUAAUUAAUAUUGUUCAAUUUACAAUAGCCGACAUAGAGGUUCCGCCUUUGCAUCCCGGACCUGCCACGCUAGAGCUAUUGUUGUUACAGGGCGAGCAUAAGUCGUCCUACAUAUGGGAGGGACAGUUACUGGCCCAGACGUUCCGCGCCAGGAGAGUAGACGAUAUGUGAAACUUUCUUAGGGCCCACCCUCUCCAUCUCCGUAUAGUCAGACGCCUCCAGGAUAUAGGUUUUUAUAGGAUUGUGGAGAUCGGCCAGUUGCAGCUGAAUUGGUCGUUGAUCACGGCCCUGAUAAAGCAGUGGCGACCGGAGAUGCACACAUUCCAUUUGUCCAUUGGCGAGGCCACUAUCACGCUUCAGGACGUGGAGGUCUUGUAUGGGCUGCCCGUUGAUGGACACCUUGUUGCUUUGUCGAAUGCUAUCAGAGAGUAUACGGGAUUGCAGUACCUAGAGAUGCUACUGCGGCUCACCGGUUUCCAGCCACCGGAUGAGACUGCAUUGAUUGGGGCUAGUCCUCCGCAGUUGACGCCCGUCCGGCAUCAUUUGGAGGCGAUGCACGCUGACAUCACAAAUGAUACACCGGAGCUUCAUAUUCACCAGUAUACGAGGUUACUGAUGUUGCUUAUGUUUGGAGGGGUUUUGUUCCCAAACACUUUAGGGAACCUAGUUAACUUGAGAUUUCUUCAUCAUCUUAAGCAGCUAGAUGAUAUACAUCAUUACAGCUGAGGUGCUGCUGUUCUCGGUUACUUGUACAUGCAGAUGUGCGGGGCUAGCAUGGGCACCCAGCGAGACGUUGCAGAAUUUUUGCCGCUACUGCAGGUUUGGGCCUGGGAGCGGUUCCUGCAGUUGCACCCACCUCUACCUCUCUUAGCUCCGGAUGCACCACCUCUGUUUCUCCUUUUAGCUAGGAGGUGGGCUGAUAAGCAAGGAUAUGGACGGGAGUACGAGGCUCGACAUAAUAUCCCCUAUUGCAUGGAUUUCUUGGAUUUGAUGGAGGGCGCAUAGUUCAUUUGGAGGCCAUACAACGACGAGCUAAUAGCUAGUUUGCCCGAUUAUUGCUCGACCGACCGAAUCAUGUGGAGCUAUUCCGUCCUGUUGAUGUAUCUCGAUAUUGUCGAGCAUCAUGCUACCGACAGCUUGUACCACCAACACAUCAUGUGGAGCGAGUACUUCGCAAUUUUGGUACCCACAGCUUGUACCACCACCGCCCGCUUGGCAUAUGACACAUUACCAGCGGGAUGAUCGUUCCAGGGUUGACCAGACAUAUGUGGCAUGACUAGAGGCGCCAAUCGAUAUUUGGGACCAGCGGCAUGACCUGAUUCCGCCACCCCCUCCACCUGACCGUACGGAUGCUGAGCAUGAGUAUAUGGGUCGGUACCGCAUGGUUACACGACUUUUUGUCGGGAAUCCCGUUUAUCGCACUAGCGGUAGGCUAUUGGCCUACAUCUAUUCCACCAGUUGGGACUGCAGAUGCAACAGCGUACCGGCGAGGGAGCAGCCAUUUUGCAUGAGUAUGGCAGGCAGGUUACCGAUCUGGCUUCCUAGACAUUGAGGCGAUCCCGAGAUGAUGAGCGUAUAGGAUACGAGGCUGAGUAUGUGGUGCCAGAGCAGUACCAUCGUAGGCCACCAGUGGAGCUGGAACGUGGUCGACGUGGCGGGCAUGCCCAGAGAGGUAGGGAUGUCCCACGAGGUAGGGGUGUCCCACGAGGUAGGGGUGUCCUACGAGGUCGUGGGGGUCAGCGAGGAGGUGGUCCCCAUCAAGGGGCCGUUGAGGCACCUGUUGAGGAUGUUGGAGUUGAUCAGCCGGGUGACCACCAUAAGCCAGACCAUGCUUUUAGAGAUAUGCCGUCAUUCAGCCUUCAGCUUACUCCGGGGACUUCGUAGGUGACCUCGAUAGCUCUAUUAUUGAUCGCGGGCAUAACCAUUACGCGACAGGAGUGGGAUCAGUAUUUUCCUGACCCAUCGACUGUUGUUGAUGAUCGUCCGACACGAGUUGUGGAUAGUGGGCGCCGGCAGAGUUAUGGCUCAUCAUCGAGGGAUGUUGAGGAUCUUUCACAUGCGCAGGCUUCAUCCUCGCCCGUCACGGAGGCCAUCUUGUGCGAUACUGACAAGGCUGCGACGGAUGAUCAUAUUCAUGAGCAUGACGAGACCAUGCUUACUGCUGGACCGACGACCCCUUCUACUGAGCCUGCUAGCCCUACUGACGAUCAUGCUGCAGCGCAUCCUAUGAUAAAGAGGCGACAUGAUGAGGAUGAUCCUGAUAGUGUAGCCGGGCGGGAUGGAAUGCGCCUCAGGCCAACGGCUUCUUUAAAGCAUAUAGGAUAUGGGACACAUUGAUCUUUUUUGUUUUAUGUACAUAUGACAUUCAGUAAAUAAUAGCAACAAUUUUUAUUGUUUA